GGAUGGAGCAGCCUGGUAGCUCGUCGGGCUCAUAACCCGAAGGUCGUCGGUUCAAAUCCGGCUCC
rnacentral:tRNA from 1 species